UUUGAAAUCACAGCAGAGAGGCGAAUCUGGCAUUGAUAUUUGACAUCACAGCAGAGAGGUGAGUCUGGUAUUGAUAUGUGACAUCACAGCAGGGAAUCUAUUUUGGCAUUGCUAUUUGACAUCGGGUUUCACAACGCUUUCUUUCCAAUCUCCUUGUGUUUCAGGUCUUGGAUCUGUUCCUGGGCUCCUGCACUCUGAUAUCCAUCUCACCCGCUUCUAAGUGUCCGUCACAACCAGCGUGGAAAGCUGGAGGUUCCCUCCAGAUUUCACAACGCUUUCUUUCCACUCUCCUUGUGUUUCAGGUCUUGGAUCUCUUCCUGGGCUCCUG
ensembl:lncRNA